UACGUAGGGGGCAAGCGUUGUCCGGAAUCAUUGGGCGUAAAGAGCGUGUAGGCGGCCUGGUAAGUCCGCUGUGAAAGUCCAGGGCUCAACCCUGGAAUGCCGGUGGAAACUGUCAGGCUCGAGUCCGGAAGAGGCGAGUGGAAUUCCUGGUGUAGCGGUGAAAUGCGCAGAUAUCAGGAGGAACACCAAUGGCGAAGGCAGCUCGCUGGGACGGUACUGACGCUGAGACGGCGAAAGCGUGGGGAGCGAACAGG
rnacentral:rRNA from 1 species